AUGUGGUUUAAUUCGAUGCAACGCGAAGAACCUUACCUACUCUUGACAUCCAGAGAACUUAGCAGAGAUGCUUUGGUGCCUUCGGGAACUCUGAGACAGGUGCUGCAUGGCUGUCGUCAGCUCGUGUUGUGAAAUGUUGGGUUAAGUCCCGCAACGAGCGCAACCCUUAUCCUUUGUUGCCAGCGAUUCGGUCGGGAACUCAAAGGAGACUGCCAGUGAUAAACUGGAGGAAGGUGGGGAUGACGUCAAGUCAUCAUGGCCCUUACGAGUAGGGCUACACACGUGCUACAAUGGCAUAUACAAAGAGAAGCGACCUCGCGAGAGCAAGCGGACCUCAUAAAGUAUGUCGUAGUCCGGAUUGGAGUCUGCAACUCGACUCCAUGAAGUCGGAAUCGCUAGUAAUCGUGGAUCAGAAUGCCACGGUGAAUACGUUCCCGGGCCUUGUACA
rnacentral:rRNA from 1 species